AUCCAAAUGACCAGUCUUACAUAGGACGAAACGCGCAUCCUGGAU
rfam:Trichobilharzia regenti genome assembly, scaffold: TRE_scaffold0030430